GGCCUUAUGGCGCAAUGGUAGCGCGUUCGACUCCAGCGAUAGGACUACCUGUUCAGGGGCAUCGAAAGGGUAUCCGUUCGAGCCGGGUUAAGGUCA